rnacentral:sRNA from 1 species
ACCCAGGCUCCCUCCAAGCCUCUCGUCAUGCGUAGUCUGCGCACGCGUACUGUUUCUCUGUUUGUCUCCUUUUGUUUGGUGUUAAGCUCCUUUCUUUCUGUGCUACUGCUUGCUUGCAGAACUGGUUUCCUGAAGUUGAGCAGACUAGACGAGACUGGGAAACUGGGUUGUCUGUGGCUCCUGAAGGUCUACAGUUCAGGGUGCGUUCUUCCAAAGUGGGUGACCUUGUAGAAGGUCAUUAAUGUCUCCCAAAUUUCCUUUUUCUUAUCCUGGAGAAAUGACUUUGACCCCGCACUCCUAGCAAAGUUGUUGGGAGUUAAAUGAGACAACGAAAACAAUGAAAUUGCUUUCCAAACAUUCCCUAGCUCUGUCCCACCCCAAACAAAAAAGGCAAUAAGCUUUUCUAAAGAUAAGCACUUUAGGACCAGCCCACUGUUAAUCUCAAAGAUGGGAGGAGAAAGACUACCGACUCAGAUCGUUAUGUCCAGAUUAAUUAAAGCCAGUUUUUUUGUUUGUUUGUUUUUGUUUUUUUUUGUUCCUGUACUCGAGCUGCCUCCCACUAAGGCAAGGUUCAUUGGAUGUGAGGAAGGUUUUUAUAGCUCAGGGGUAGGGGAUUUUCUAAAUGGGGGAUUUGUGGCAAAACAGGUGGAGUUACAGGAGAAGCAUAAUAAGUUAGUUCCUGAAACAAAGACAGAAAGGCGGUCGUAACAGCCGGUAGUCAUACAAGGUACCCAUAACCAGCCUUUUGCAAGACGAACAUUAACUUUUUGAAACAAAAAUGUGAUUGCUAUUCCUGGAUCAGGCAGUACAGAACCAUUUGUAGUUAAGGUUACAGGUGGGACAUAGCCCAAUCCUUGAUUAAUUAACAGCAUUAAUUAAUGAACUUAGUUUGCCUUUACCAUCAGGUGGCUUUUAAACCGAAGACGGAGGCAGACUGGUUCUUCACCACCUGAGUAUAAGCUUAUCUUUUGUAGGCAUAAAAUACCGUUUAAUAGGAGAGUGGUGUUAGAGAGCGAGUGUUAACAUGACUAUAGUAGACCAAAAAAAUAAUGAAGAAUGAAACUCCUGAAUAAAUGUCUUAGUGAAAAAUACAAGCAAAACAAAACACCUCUCUCAGAUCCUUAGUACUCCUCAGGUGCUGAAGAUUAACCCUUACAGACAGGAAAGUAAGCAGCAAAAUUCUAGUGCUUACCCACAAACCCUUGGGAGGCUGAGGCAGGAGCUUUGAGCUCAAGGUCAGCCUGGGGUACACCACAAACCUCUGUUUCAAGAGCAUAAAAAAACGGCAAUGAUUUGGAGAGUAAAUAAAGGCAGCGCAUGCAGCUUUCAGCGUCUCUGCACCUCUCACCCCAUCCCCCCUCCAAUCCUCCACACGCUGCAGCCCCACCCCCACCCCACAAUAUCACUUCAACGCACGCAACAGGGUCUUUAGGUUCCCAUUAAACACUCCUCGGGAGGCAAGAAUAGAAACAACAACUCCGACAAGGAAAACUAGAUCAAAAUGGAGCUUCGGCUUGGCUCAAACUUCUGGGGACAUGUAGCUCCUGGCGACCUUUCAGCUGCUGCCAUAACCUCAUUUUGGAGAUAGCAGGACUGAUAAAAGCAAAGGAAGUUACAAAUGGAUGCAAUUAGAAGUAAGAAAGAGGAAGUUUAUUCUGGUUUAUCCACUCACCUGAUGAAGAGCACAUCUAGACAAUUAUGAAUAGGACUGUCAUGAACAUCCCUGGGUGAGUUUUUGUGCAGACCCUUUGGGUAAAUAUCAAAUGUAUCAGUUGCUUUAUUGUGUGGUAAGAGCGUGCUUAGUUUUGUAAGAUGCUGUCAAGCUGUCUUUCAAUGGGUCUGUGAGCCGGUUCCCACCAGUCAUCAGUAAGCUCUCCCGUGGCUCCUGCCCCUUGUUGGUGUUAAGCAUUGUCAGUAUCCUGUGGGAGCCUGUGGGGCAGUGCACUGUUGUCAUUUGCAUUUCCUGGUGGCAUGGGGUGAAACAGAUUCUCUUCUGCUCAUUUUUGCCCACUUGGGUGUCCUCUUUGAUGGCAUAUCUGUUAAGGGUUUGGGCUCGGUAUUAAAUAUUAUUCUUUAGUAUAUCAUACUAAAUCAUGAAAAGGCAUUUUCAUGUGAGUAUAUGACACGAGCGUACAUGACCCCCACUGCCCCACUACCUUCCCUUUUCUAUGGCCCAUUUUCAGCCAGACCAUGAUCUUUCUUGCUGAGUUUUAAUGAUUUUGUAUCUUCUAAAUAAAUGGACAUGCCUUUUCCAAAUAUUUUCUCACGGCCCUGGGGUUGUCUUUUUAUUCUGAUGGAGUUGUCUUUUUGAGAGCAGAAGUUUGUGCUAAAGUGAAUCUAUCCCAUCAGUUACUUCUUUCAAGUGUGAUGUCUGGGUAUUGUCUAAAAACAGCCAUCGUUCACCCAAGGCGAUUUUGUCUUUUUCCUACACAGAUCUUCUAGGGCUUCAUAGUUUUGUGUCUGUCUGUCUGUUUGGUUGGUUGGUUGAUUUUUGAGACAGGGUCUCCUUGUGUCACCACACUCUCCUAUAACUAACCGGCUAUAUAGGCCAGGCUGGCUUGAUUCCCAGA